CUAUUAUCUAAUCUAGCUUAUAUAUCCUUCUAACCCCAAGUUUACGUUGAUGUUUUUUUAUUAACCGCAGUGCUUGGAUUGGACAAAUAAAAGGACUUUGGGAAGUAAAAAGUAGCGUCCCUUGCAAUAAUUGACUUUAAUUUAAUCUGUGAGGGUUUUUACCCUUACACUAAUUUUAAAAAAGUUCAUAAUCCUGCACUACAUUUAAUACAAUUCA